rnacentral:rRNA from 1 species
CAGCCGCCACGGGAAUACGUAGGUGGCAAGCGUUGUCCGGAAUUAUUGGGCGUAAAGGGCUCGCAGGCGGUUUCUUAAGUCUGAUGUGAAAGCCCCCGGCUCAACCGGGGAGGGUCAUUGGAAACUGGGAAACUUGAGUGCAGAAGAGGAGAGUGGAAUUCCACGUGUAGCGGUGAAAUGCGCAGAGAUGUGGAGGAACACCAGUGGCAAAGGCGACUCUCUGGUCUGUAACUGACGCUGAGGAGCGAAAGCGUGGGGAGCGAACAGGAUUAGAUACCCCAGUAGUCCCUGUCUCUUAUAC